UAUGGGAGGCGCAGGCGGGAAUAGUUCACAAUGGGCGAAAGCCUGAAUGACGCGACGCCGCGUGAGCGAAGAAGACUCGGGUGUAAGCUCUGUCAGAGGGAAGAAGGCUCUACGGGUCAAUAGCCCGUGGGAUUGAGGUACCUCCAGAGGAAAAGCCCCGGCUAAAUACGUGCCAGCAGCCGCGGUAAUACGUAUGGGGCAAGCGUUGCCGGAUUACUGGGCGUAAAGGGCGCGUAGCCGGUUUGUUAAGUCGAAGGUGAAAUCCUCGGGCUCAACUCGAGAAUUGCCUUCGAUACUGGAAACUAGAGUGGCGGAGAGGAAAGCGGAACUCUUGGUGUAACGGUGGAAUGUGUAGAUAUCAAGAGGAACACCGGUGGCGAAGGCGGCUUUCUGGACGCACACUGACGCUCAGGCGCGAAAGCGUGGGUAGCAAACAGGAUUAGAUACCCUGGUAGUCCACGCCAUAAACGAUGGGUACUAGGUGUCGGGGGUAUCGACCCCUCCGGUGCCGCAGUUAACGCACUAAGUACCCCGCCUGGGGAUUAUGGUCGCAAGGCUGAAACUCAAAGGAAUUGACGGGGCCCCGCACAAGCGGUGGAGCAUGUGGUUUAAUUCGACGCAACGCGAAGAACCUUACCUGGGCUUGACAUGCUUGGGACAGCGCUGGAAACAGCGUCUCUCCUUCGGGAGCCCUUGCACAGGUGCUGCAUGGCUGUCGUCAGCUCGUGUCGUGAGAUGUUGGGUUAAGUCCCGCAACGAGCGCAACCCUCGUUACUAGUUGCCAUCAGUUCGGCUGGGCACUCUAGUGAGACUGCCGGUGAUAAACCGGAGGAAGGUGAGGAUGAUGUCAAGUCAUCAUGGCCCUUGCGCCCAGGGCUACACACGUGCUACAAUGGUCGGCACAAAGGGUCGCUAAGCCGCGAGGUGGAGCUAAUCCCAAAAAGCCGGCCUCAGUUCGGAUUGGAGUCUGCAACCCGACUCCAUGAAGGCGGAAUCGCUAGUAAUCGCGGAUCAGCAUGCCGCGGUGAAUAUGUUCCCNGGGGCUUGUACACACCGCCCGUCAUAUCACCCGAGUCGGGAUACCCGAAGUCCGUGACCCAACCAUUUGGAGGGAGC
rnacentral:rRNA from 1 species